rnacentral:rRNA from 1 species
GACGAACGCUGGCGGCGUGCUUAACACAUGCAAGUCGAGGAGAAAGUCAACUUCGGUUGAUCAGUAAACUGGCGGACGGGUGAGUAACGCGUAGGCGACCUAUCCAUUUGUUUGGGAUAACCCAGCGAAAGCGGGGCUAAUACCGGAUGUGGUUAUGUUUAUUCUAAAUGGCAUAAUUAAAGUUGCUUCAUUAGAGGUAGCGCAAGUGGUUGGGCCUGCGUUCCAUUAGCUAGUUGGUAUGGUAAUGGCGUACCAAGGCGACGAUGGAUAGCUGGUCUGAGAGGACGAUCAGCCACACUGGGACUGAGAUACGGCCCAGACUUCUACGGAAGGCAGCAGUAAGGAAUAUUGCGCAAUGGCCGAAAGGCUGACGCAGCAACGCCGCGUGAGGGAUGAAGCUUUUAGGAGCGUAAACCUCUGUUAGGAGGGACGAAAAUAUUGGAGUCGAAUAGGCUCCUUUGCUGACGGUACCUCCAGAGAAAGCCCCGGCUAACUCCGUGCCAGCAGCCGCGGUAACACGGGGGGGGCAAGCGUUGUCCGGAUUUAUUGGGCGUAAAGGGCGCGUAGGCGGGAUGGUCUGUCUGGGGUGAAAACUUGCGGCUUAACCGCAAGCCUGCCUCAGAAACUGCCAUUCUUGAGUUCGGAAGAGGGAAGUGGAAUUCCUGGUGUAGCGGUGAAAUGCGUAGAUAUCAGGAAGAACACCGGUGGC